GCUAAGGAAACAUACGAGAAUCCAGUGGAUUUACUGCUAGAGCCAAAGUGGACAAUCUGGGAUUGCAGUGAUAUAAUUCCACUUCUGAAAAGUGCCAUGAAAAAAUUGAGAGAUACUCUGGAAAGUGGACUUCAACUACAGGAAGUGAAUGUAACUCUGGGUCCAUACACAGCUGAUUCUGACUGCCUUAAGAUCUCCGAAGAUCGAAAAAGCAUCA